rnacentral:ncRNA from 1 species
AGUGUUGCAAUGAAGAGAAGAGUACACGAAAAGGAUUGGCACAGAGAGUUCCCGUUUGGUGAAAGGGAAUACAAGAUAGUUCGUGGAAGAUGGACUCCGAGCAGGCUGGCCGAAUAAUUAGGCCGCCCGGGUGCACCCGUUAUCGUGCUAUGGUAUUUAAGGCAUAUGCCUGCGUACCUGAAGAGAUCUGAUCUGCGAAGAUUAGGUAAAAUUGGGUGGUAUCACGGUGCUUCCGUCCCUUGU